UCCUCCGUCCGAGGCAGCGCGCAUGCGCGGUGGGGGCGGGCUGCUCGGCUCUCUCCGCCCCUUGGUCCCCCCUCCUCUCGUCCGCGCUCCUCUCUCGGAGGAAGUCAAUUUGGCCAAUGGAUCCCGUAUGCAACUAGAGGUACCACUGUAUAUAGGAUUGUGCUGGAUGCUACCGAAUAUUAGUGGUAGCAAUUGUUCAGAGAUUCUUCUCUUCAUUUUACCUGCCAUUCUUAAGUAUGACACUCCAAGCUGUAAGGUGAAGCUCACAACAGCCUGCACUGCUCACCGAAAAGCAGCUGUUUCUCAGAAGGUUGCCUUGCCAUGAGUGCUGUAUCCCAGAGCAUGCUGCAGUUGGGCCAGUGUUCUCCCUUGUGCCCCAAAGAAAGAGACACGCUCACUGGGGAAAUGGCGAGGUUCAUUCCGUGGUGGAGCUCUUAUUUUCUUCUCAAGCUGUUGGACCACAGCAGAAAGUUUCUGAACAUGGACAUGGAAAUAAGCAUUACCUUCAUGCUUCCUUUUGUUCUCCAUCAGAGGGGCAGCUCUACAGGGAAACAAAGGGCCACAUGCGAUGAGAUUAUCUAAACCUCAAAAUAGGCCUCAGACAGAGACCAUAUGGUCUGAGGUAUGAAAAAAGUUGCUGACCCCUCCUCUAGAUCUUCAACGAUGAGCUCUUCUGAAAGGAAAAGAAGAGAAGGCUAGCAGUUAGAGAGACUUUCUUAUAUACACUGAACAUAUACAUGGAAAUAGAUAUGACCUUCAUCUUUGCUCUUCUGUCUCAUGGGGGGGGGAGGAAUUAGGAGCCUACAGGGAAACAAAGAGCCACAUGCCAUAAGAUUAUUUAUCUAAACCUCAAAAUAGGCCUCAGACAGAGACCUUUCCUAAGAAACCUUAGGGACUGGCUGAAGUCUUACCUUUUGGGUCUUGUGGAAGAGGGUAUGGCGGGGUAAGGCGGGGGUGUGUGGGCGAGGGGGAAACAUUAUUUCGUCUGAGACGAAACACUCUUCUGAUCCUGGAAACCUCGAAAAGGAAAAGGAAAAUGUGAGAAAUGGGGCUCACAGUUAGUACUCUCCUGAUCCACAUCCCCAAACUGGUAUCUAAACCUCAAAAUAGGCCUCAGACAGAGACCACAUGGUCUGAGGGAUGAAAAAGGUUGCUGACCCUAAAUCAGCUGACCCUAAAUCAGCUGACCCUAAAUCUUCGAUGAUGAUGAAAGGAAAAGAAGAGAAGGCUGGCAGUUAGAGAGACUUUCUUAUAUACACUGAACAUAUACAUGGAAAUAGACAUGACCUUCAUCUUUGCUCUUCUGUCUCAUGGGGGGGGGGGAGGAAUUAGGAGCCUACAGGGAAACAAAGAGCCACAUGCCAUAAGAUUAUUCAUCUAAACCUCAAAAUAGGCCUCAGACAGAGACCUUUCCUAAGAAACCUGCAGGGUCUUACCUUUUGGGAUUUUUCAAAGAGGGAAUGGCGGGGUAAG